CCUCAGGGAGCCACGUGCCACCCCAGGUCAUCAAGAUGAAGUUGGCUGGAAUCAUUUGGAAUCUGCUGGUCAAGUCCCGAUGUCUGUUUUAAGAGGGCCACACAAAUCUUAGGGGAGUCCCAGGUGUCUGGGAAAGUUCUCCCUUGUGUGUUCUGGGAAAGAGUGGGUUUCCAUCUGAUAAGGGAACCAUUGGUCUGGAUCGUGUUUCAGAAAGUGAAGGAAACAGAAAGACGCCCUCACUCUUGUGCUUUCCUGAUACUGCCUCACCUCCUGUGCUGCUGCGUUAGGAGUAAACUGUCCUAGAAAAUCAAAAAUCACAACAACGACCUAUGGAGAUCUCCCAUGGACUAAUGGGAGAGACUUUGCUCAGAGAAAAUCGAAGGUCAGGAAGUUCAGAGAUGUCAACGUAGGGUCGCUGGACUUGUAUGAGAAGCCCAGUUAAAUUUGAGUGUCAGAUAAACAAUGAUUUUAGUAUAUAUGUGUCCCAUGCAAUUAAAAACUUUCAUUACAAAAAGACAUAACUUUUAGUAUAGGUAUGUCCUAUGUAAAAAAAU
rnacentral:lncRNA from 1 species